rnacentral:rRNA from 1 species
GAUAGCGGGGUGAGAGUGGGGGGGAGAAUACGGAGGUGGCAAGCGUUAUCCGGAUUUAUUGGGGUUAAAGGGUCCGUAGUCGGGCCUAUAAGUCAGUGGUGAAAUCUCACAGCUUAACUGUGAAACUGCCGUUGAUACUGUAGGUCUUGAGUAAAUUUGAAGUGGCUGGAAUAAGUAGUGUAGCGGUGAAAUGCAUAGAUAUUACUUAGAACACCAAUUGCGAAGGCAGGGCACUAAGAUUUAACUGACGCUGAGGGACGAAAGCGUGGGGAGCGAACAGGAUUAGAUACCCCAGUAGUC